rnacentral:rRNA from 1 species
CAGCGACUUAUAUUCUGUAGCAAGGUUAACCGUAUAGGGGAGCCGCAGGGAAACCGAGUCUUAACUGGGCGUUAAGUUGCAGGGUAUAGACCCGAAACCCGGUGAUCUAGCCAUGGGCAGGUUGAAGGUUGGGUAACACUAACUGGAGGACCGAACCGACUAAUGUUGAAAAAUUAGCGGAUGACUUGUGGCUGGGGGUGAAAGGCCAAUCAAACCGGGAGAUAGCUGGUUCUCCCCGAAAGCUAUUUAGGUAGCGCCUCGUGAAUUCAUCUUCGGGGUAGAGCACUGUUUCGGCUAGGGGGUCAUCCCGACUUACCAACCCGAUGCAAACUACGAAUACCGAAGAAUGUUAUCACGGGAGACACACGGCGGGUGCUAACGUCCGUCGUGAAGAGGGAAACAACCCAGACCGCCAGCUAAGGUCCCAAAGUCAUGGUUAAGUGGGAAACGAUGUGGGAAGGCACAGACAGCCAGGAUGUUGGCUUAGAAGCAGCCAUCAUUUAAAGAAAGCGUAAUAGCUCACUGGUCGAGUCGGCCUGCGCGGAAGAUGUAACGGGGCUAAACCAUGCACCGAAGCUGCGGCAGC